UUGUGGUUAAAAGCUCGUAGUUGGAUCUCAACAGUCUUGAAGCGGUCAACUUUGUAGUUGUACUGCUUUGUAGACUGUGCUUUUGCUGGAGGUUUAGGGGUGCUCUUAAUCGAGUGUCUCUGGAUGCCAGCAGGUUUACUUUGAAAAAAUUAGAGUGCUCAAAGCAGGCUAAAAUGCCUGAAUAUUCGUGCAUGGAAUAAUAGAAUAGGAUGUCGAUCCUAUUUUGUUGGUUUUCGGGACUUGACAUAAUGAUUAAUAGGGACAGUCGGGGGCAUUUGUAUUCAAACGACAGAGGUGAAAUUCUUGGACCGUUUGAAGACGAACUACUGCGAAAGCAUUUGCCAAGAAUGUUUUCAUUAAUCAAGAACGAAAGUUAGAGGUUCGAAGGCGAUUAGAUACCGCCCUAGUUCUAACCAUAAACGAUGCCAGCUAGCGAUCUGCCGCUGUUUUUACUGUAGACUCGGCAGGAAGCUUCCGGGAAACCAAAGCAUUUGGGUUCCAGGGGAAGUAUGGUUGCAAAGCCGAAACUUAAAGGAAUUGACGGAAGGGCACCACCAGGAGUGGAGCCUGUGGCUUAAUUUGACUCAACACGGGAAAUCUCACCAGGCCCGGACACUGGAAGGAUUGACAGAUUGAUAGCUCUUUCUUGAUUCGGUGGGUGGUGGUGCAUGGCCGUUCUUAGUUGGUGGAGUGAUUUGUCUGGUUAAUUCCGAUAACGAACGAGACUCUGUCCUGCUAAAUAGUGUCUACUUCUCUUUUGAGUAGACAAUUCUUCUUAGAGGGACUGGCAACUCUUAGUUGCAC
rnacentral:rRNA from 1 species